rnacentral:rRNA from 1 species
AUUGAACGCUGGCGGCAGGCCUAACACAUGCAAGUCGAGCGGAUGAAGGGAGCUUGCUCCUGGAUUCAGCGGCGGACGGGUGAGUAAUGCCUAGGAAUCUGCCUUGUAGUGGGGGAUAACGUCCGGAAACGGGCGCUGAUCCCGCAUACGUCCUGAGGGAGAAAGUGGGGGAUCUUCGGACCUCUCGCUAUCUGAUGAGCCUAGGUCUGAUUAGCUAGUUGGUGGGGUAAAGGCCUACCAAGGCGACGAUCCGUAACUGGUCUGAGAGGAUGAUCAGUCACACUGGAACUGAGACACGGUCCAGACUCCUACGGGAGGCAGCAGUGGGGAAUAUUGGGCAAUGGGCGAAAGCCUGAUCCAGCCAUGCCGCGUGAGUGAUGAAGGUCUUCGGAUGGUAAAGCACUGUAAGUAGGGAGGAAGUGCAGUAAGUUAAGCUCUGGCUGUUUUGACGGUACCAACAGAAGAAGCACCGGCUAACUUCGUG